rnacentral:tRNA from 1 species
UGCUUCGGCCGGGAAUCGAACCCGGCAGGUGAGCAUUCUACCACUGAACCACCGAUGA